rnacentral:rRNA from 1 species
AGAGUUUGAUCCUGGCUCAGGAUGAACGCUGGCGGCGUGCUUAACACAUGCAAGUCGAACGAUGAUGGGAGCUUGCUCCUGGAUUAGUGGCGAACGGGUGAGUAACACGUGAGUAACCUGCCCUUAACUCUGGGAUAAGCCUGGGAAACUGGGUCUAAUACCGGAUAUGACUCCUCAUCGCAUGGUGGGGGGUGGAAAGCUUUAUUGUGGUUUUGGAUGGACUCGCGGCCUAUCAGCUUGUUGGUGGGGUAAUGGCUUACCAAGGCGACGACGGGUAGCCGGCCUGAGAGGGUGACCGGCCACACUGGGACUGAGACACGGCCCAGACUCCUACGGGAGGCAGCAGUGGGGAAUAUUGCACAAUGGGCGCAAGCCUGAUGCAGCGACGCCGCGUGAGGGAUGACGGCCUUCGGGUUGUAAACCUCUUUCAGUAGGGAAGAAGCGAAAGUGACGGUACCUGCAGAAGAAGCGCCGGCUAACUACGUGCCAGCAGCCGCGGUAAUACGUAGGGCGCAAGCGUUAUCCGGAAUUAUUGGGCGUAAAGAGCUCGUAGGCGGUUUGUCGCGUCUGCCGUGAAAGUCCGGGGCUCAACUCCGGAUCUGCGGUGGGUACGGGCAGACUAGAGUGAUGUAGGGGAGACUGGAAUUCCUGGUGUAGCGGUGAAAUGCGCAGAUAUCAGGAGGAACACCGAUGGCGAAGGCAGGUCUCUGGGCAUUAACUGACGCUGAGGAGCGAAAGCAUGGGGGAGCGAACAGGAUUAGAUACCCCUGUAGUCC